AUUGAGAUGGCAGAUCAGUGCAUAGGUUUUAAGGUCCUAUUAGAGAAUUUAUUGUUGGUUCUUCUUAAUA
rnacentral:tRNA from 1 species